UCGUGGUGUUGGCUGGCACCAACCGCCCUGACGUCCUGGACCCGGCCCUCAUGCGGCCUGGCCGGUUUCAUCGCCAGAUUUACACUGUCCCCCUUACAUUAAAGGCAGGUCCUCCAUCUUUAAGGUCCACCUGCGCCCACUGAAGCUGGACAAGAGCCUCAAUAAGGACACCCUGGCGAGGAAGCUGGCAGUGCUCACCCCAGG
rnacentral:lncRNA from 1 species